AAGUCGUAACAAGGUUUCCGUAGGUGAACCUGCGGAAGGAUCAUUAUUGAGAUUGAAAAGAGUUGUCGCUGGCCUUCCGAGGCAUGUGCACGCUCUGCUCAUCCAUCUACCCCUGUGCACCUAUUGUAGAAGGGCCGAAAGGCUGUUCUAUGUUUUUACAAACACUUUUAGUUCUGAAUGUAACUUGCUAUAAACGCAUCUAAUACAACUUUCAACAACGGAUCUCUUGGCUCUC
rnacentral:misc_RNA from 1 species